UACGGAGGGUGCAAGCGUUAUCCGGAUUUACUGGGUUUAAAGGGUGCGUAGGUGGGCCUGUAAGUCAGUGGUGAAAUCUCCGGGCUUAACCCGGAAACUGCCAUUGAUACUAUAGGUCUUGAAUCAUCUGGAGGUGAGCGGAAUAUGUCAUGUAGCGGUGAAAUGCUUAGAUAUGACAUAGAACACCAAUUGCGAAGGCAGCUCACUACGGGUGCAUUGACACUGAGGCCACGAAAGCGUGGGGGAUCAAACAGG
rnacentral:rRNA from 1 species